GGCACCGUGGCCUAAUGGUAAGGCGUUGCUUUCCGGUCUCAGGACAUGGCAAAGAUUGUGGGUUCGAGUCCCAUCGGUGUCG